rnacentral:piRNA from 1 species
CCCAGGAAUUCGACUAUGAUUGGGCCA